rnacentral:rRNA from 1 species
UACAGAGGUCUCAAGCGUUGUUCGGAUUUAUUGGGCGUAAAGGGUGCGUAGGCGGCGCGGUAAGUCGGGUGUGAAAUCUUGGAGCUUAACUCCGAAACUGCAUUCGAUACUGCCGUGCUUGAGGACUGGAGAGGAGACUGGAAUUUACGGUGUAGCGGUGAAAUGCGUAGAUAUCGUAAGGAAGACCAGUGGCGAAGGCGGGUCUCUGGACAGUUCCUGACGCUGAGGCGCGAAGGUGAGGGGAGCAAACGGG